rnacentral:rRNA from 1 species
UGGGGAAUAUUGCACAAUGGGCGCAAGCCUGAUGCAGCCAUGCCGCGUGUAUGAAGAAGGCCUUCGGGUUGUAAAGUACUUUCAGCGGGGAGGAAGGCGAUAAGGUUAAUAACCUUGUCGAUUGACGUUACCCGCAGAAGAAGCACCGGCUAACUCCGUGCCAGCAGCCGCGGUAAUACGGAGGGUGCAAGCGUUAAUCGGAAUUACUGGGCGUAAAGCGCACGCAGGCGGUGUGUCAAGUCGGAUGUGAAAGCCCCGGGCUCAACCUGGGAACUGCAUUCGAAACUGGCAGGCUAGAGUCUUGUAGAGGGGGGUAGAAUUCCAGGUGUAGCGGUGAAAUGCGUAGAGAUCUGGAGGAAUACCGGUGGCGAAGGCGGCCCCCUGGACAAAGACUGACGCUCAGGUGCGAAAGCGUGGGGAGCAAACA